rnacentral:rRNA from 1 species
GCGUGCGGGAAGAAGGCCUUCGGGUUGUAAACCGCUUUUGUCAGGGAAGAAAAGCUGCGCGCUAAUACCGUGCGGUCAUGACGGUACCUGAAGAAUAAGCACCGGCUAACUACGUGCCAGCAGCCGCGGUAAUACGUAGGGUGCAAGCGUUAAUCGGAAUUACUGGGCGUAAAGCGUGCGCAGGCGGUUAUGCAAGACAGAUGUGAAAUCCCCGGGCUUAACCUGGGAACUGCAUUUGUGACUGCAUAGCUAGAGUACGGUAGAGGGGGAUGGAAUUCCGCGUGUAGCAGUGAAAUGCGU